rnacentral:rRNA from 1 species
AUUGAACGCUGGCGGCAGGCCUAACACAUGCAAGUCGAACGAGUGGCGGACGGGUGAGUAAUGUCUGGGAAACUGCCUGAUGGAGGGGGAUAACUACUGGAAACGGUAGCUAAUACCGCAUACCAUCGGAUGUGCCCAGAUGGGAGUAGCUAGUAGGUGGGGUAAAGGCUCACCUAGGCGACGAUCCCUAGCUGGGCUGAGAGGAUGACCGGCCACACGGGAACGGAGACACGGUCCAGACUCUAACGGGAGGAAGCAGUGGGGAAUAUUGCACAAUGGGCGCAAGCCUGAUGCAGCCAUGCGGCGGGUAUGAAGAAGGCCUUCGGGUGGUAAAGUACGUUCAGCGGGGAGGCGGUACCCGCAGAAGAAGCACCGGCUAACUCCGUGCCAGCAGCCGCGGUAAUAC